CCUGGGGGAGGCCUGUCAGAGGGGCACAAAGGAUGUGCCCAGGUACAGAGCCAAGAGAGCAUGCCCCAGAGUUAGUAAACUGAUUGGUUAAGAAAGUCACGUGGUAUGUAGGGAUAUAA